rnacentral:rRNA from 1 species
UACGGAGGGUGCAAGCGUUAUCCGGAUUCACUGGGUUUAAAGGGUGCGUAGGUGGGCAGGUAAGUCAGUGGUGAAAUCUCCGGGCUUAACUCGGAAACUGCCAUUGAUACUAUCUUUCUUGAAUACCGUGGAGGUCAGCGGAAUAUGUCAUGUAGCGGUGAAAUGCUUAGAUAUGACAUAGAAUACCAAUUGCGAAGGCAGCUGGCUACACGAAUAUUGACACUGAUGCACGAAAGCGUGGGGAUCAAACAGG